UACGAAGGGGGCUAGCGUUGCUCGGAAUCACUGGGCGUAAAGCGCACGUAGGCGGCUUGUUAAGUCAGGGGUGAAAUCCUGGAGCUCAACUCCAGAACUGCCUUUGAUACUGGCGAGCUUGAGUUCGGGAGAGGUGAGUGGGACUGCGAGUGUAGAGGUGAAAUUCGUAGAUAUUCGCAAGAACACCAGUGGCGAAGGCGGCUCACUGGCCCGAUACUGACGCUGAGGUGCGAAAGCGUGGGGAGCAAACAGG
rnacentral:rRNA from 1 species